CCUUCAAGUUCCACUUGACUCCCUUUCCAGUGAUACCCCUGGAUGAGCCGGUGAAUGCCACUCUCACUUUUACAGCAGCUGUUGACGUAUUUGAUUACACUUUAAGUUUGAUGGCGACUCAUCAAAAUGGGACACCCUUUGGGAAAUGGUCUCACAUGGCCAACUGCACACCAAAGAAAUUUUUUUGCAAUUUGGCGGCUGGUGAGACCUAUACAGAGAGUUUUGAUGGCUACAUUCCAAUUUUAUCAAUUGG